rnacentral:lncRNA from 1 species
ACAGUCAAAUUUCAUAGAAUGUCAGACAGAGCAUAAUAAACAUAAGAACAGUCCAAGAAAUCUAAAGGAAACAAAGCAAGUUUAUUAAUGACCAACCCGGCUAUUCUAAGGUAACAUGACAAUUAAAUUAUCACAAUCGAACAAAACAAACAACAUAAUAAACGGAAACAAUAAACCGAAUGGUCCUAAAGCAAGAUGUGUGAACUACGUAAAAUGUAACAAAUAAUAAAGAAACAUGUGGUGUGGUAAUUAAAUGCAAUGCUUAAGCUAAAAAGUGAAUUGCUAUAUAAAAAGUGUGAAUGAUUUGAUGAAGAAAUGGAAAGCCAAGUUUUGUCAUGUUUGAUUGAGGACAAGCAAAGUUCUAAGUUUGGGGUUGUGAUAACGGUCUAAAAACCGUUAUUUUCAUGCUUAAAUUUGAUAGUAAAACACACCCUUUAUGGCUUAGAAUGAGCUUUAAAUCAAGUAAAACACUUAGUUGAGUCU